GACGAACGCUGGCGGCGUGCUUAACACAUGCAAGUCGAACGGAAAGGCCCUGCUUUUGUGGGGUGCUCGAGUGGCGAACGGGUGAGUAACACGUGAGUAACCUGCCCUUGACUUUGGGAUAACUUCAGGAAACUGGGGCUAAUACCGGAUAGGAGCUCCUGCUGCAUGGUGGGGGUUGGAAAGUUUCGGCGGUUGGGGAUGGACUCGCGGCUUAUCAGCUUGUUGGUGGGGUAGUGGCUUACCAAGGCUUUGACGGGUAGCCGGCCUGAGAGGGUGACCGGCCACCUUGGGACUGAGAUACGGCCCAGACUCCUACGGGAGGCAGCAGGGGGGAAUAUUGCACAAUGGGCGGAAGCCUGAUGCAGCAACGCCGCGUGCGGGAUGACGGCCUUCGGGUUGUAAACCGCUUUCGCCUGUGACGAAGCGUGAGUGACGGUAAUGGGUAAAGAAGCACCGGCUAACUACGUG
rnacentral:rRNA from 1 species